rnacentral:misc_RNA from 1 species
GCCUCAGUAACGGCGAGUGAAGCGGCAACAGCUCAAAUUUGAAAUCUGGCUCCCCUUGGGGGUCCGAGUUGUAAUUUGCAGAGGAUGCUUCGGGUGCGGCCACGGCUUAAGUCCCCUGGAACGGGGCGUCAUAGAGGGUGAGAAUCCCGUCUUGAGCCGCCGGUACGUGCCCGCGUGAAGCUCCUUCGACGAGUCGAGUUGUUUGGGAAUGCAGCUCUAAAUGGGUGGUAAAUUUCAUCUAAAGCUAAAUACUGGCUGGAGACCGAUAGCGCACAAGUAGAGUGAUCGAAAGGUUAAAAGCACCUUGAAAAGGGAGUUAAAUAGCACGUGAAAUUGUUGAAAGGGAAGCGCUUGCGACCAGACUCGGCCGCGGAGGCUCAGCGGGCACUCGUUGCCCGUGCACUCCCCCGCGGUCGGGCCAGCAUCGGUUCUGGCGGCCGGUCAAAGGCCCCUGGAAUGUGUCGCCUCUCGGGGCGUCUUAUAGCCAGGGGUGCAAUGCGGCCUGCCGGGACCGAGGAACGCGCUUCGGCUCGGAUGCUGGCGU